AUUGAACGCUGGCGGCAGGCCUAACACAUGCAAGUCGAGCGAGCGGCGGACGGGUGAGUAAUGUAUGGGGACUGCCCGAUAGAGGGGGAUAACUACUGGAAACGGUGGCUAAUACCGCAUACUAUCGGAUAACCCAUAUGGGAUUAGCUUGUAGGUGAGGUAACGGCUCACCUAGGCGACGAUCCCUAGCUGGUCUGAUAGGAUGAACAGCCACACUGGGACUGAGACACGGCCCAGACUCCUACGGAGGCAGCAGUGGGGAAUAUUGCACAAUGGGCGCAAGCCUUAUGCAGCCAUGCCGCGGGUAUGAAGAAGGCCUUCGGGUUGUAAAGUACUUUCAGUCGGGAGGCGUUAACUACAGAAGAAGCACCGGCUAACUCCGUGCCAGCAGCCGCGGUAAUUC
rnacentral:rRNA from 1 species